rnacentral:rRNA from 1 species
GACGAACGCUGGCGGCGUGCCUAAUACAUGCAAGUAGAACGCUGAAGGAGGAGCUUGCUUCUCUGGAUGAGUUGCGAACGGGUGAGUAACGCGUAGGUAACCUGCCUGGUAGCGGGGGAUAACUAUUGGAAACGAUAGCUAAUACCGCAUAAGAGUAGAUGUUGCAUGACAUUUGCUUAAAAGGUGCACUUGCAUCACUACCAGAUGGACCUGCGUUGUAUUAGCUAGUUGGUGGGGUAACGGCUCACCAAGGCGACGAUACAUAGCCGACCUGAGAGGGUGAUCGGCCACACUGGGACUGAGACACGGCCCAGACUCCUACGGGAGGCAGCAGUAGGGAAUCUUCGGCAAUGGACGGAAGUCUGACCGAGCAACGCCGCGUGAGUGAAGAAGGGUUUCGGAUCGUAAAGCUCUGUUGUAAGAGAAGAACGAGUGUGAGAGUGGAAAGUUCACACUGUGACGGUAUCUUACCAGAAAGGGACGGCUAACUACGUG